rnacentral:rRNA from 1 species
GUGAGGAACCUGCCCCGAAGACCGGGAUAACCCUCCGAAAGGAGAGCUAAUACCGGAUACCCCCACCGGACCGCAUGAUCUGGUGAGGAAAUGGAUUCCGCUUCGGGAGGGCCUCGCGGCCUAUCAGCUUGUUGGUGGGGUAAUGGCCCACCAAGGCUUCGACGGGUAGCUGGUCUGAGAGGACGAUCAGCCACACUGGGACUGAGACACGGCCCAGACUCCUACGGGAGGCAGCAGUGGGGAAUCUUGCGCAAUGGGCGAAAGCCUGACGCAGCAACGCCGCGUGGGGGAUGAAGGCUCUCGGGUUGUAAACCCCUUUCAGCAGGGACGAAACUGACGGUACCUGCAGAAGAAGCCCCGGCCAACUACGUGCCAGCAGCCGCGGUAACACGUAGGGGGCAAGCGUUGUCCGGAUUUAUUGGGCGUAAAGAGCUCGUAGGCGGCUCAGUAAGUCGGGUGUGAAACCUCCAGGCUCAACCUGGAGACGCCACCCGAUACUGCUGUGGCUAGAGUCCGGUAGGGGAGCGUGGAAUU